rnacentral:rRNA from 1 species
GAUCAUGGCUCAGGACGAACGCUGGCGGCACGCCUAACACAUGCAAGUCGAACGGAGAAAAUGAUUUCGGUUAUUUUCUUAGUGGCGGACGGGUGAGUAACACGUGAGGAACCUGCCUUUGAGAGUGGGAUAGCUUCUGGAAACGGAUGGUAAUACCGCAUAACAUAGCGAAACCGCAUGAUUUUGCUAUCAAAGUAUUUCGCUCAGAGAUGGUCUCGCGCCUGAUUAGAUAGUUGG